rnacentral:hammerhead_ribozyme from 1 species
GCACUGCUGAAGAGUCCCACAAUAGGACGGAACGGCCGUUCAGUGC